rnacentral:rRNA from 1 species
AUAGAGACUCAGAGCUGCAUAUCAAUAAGCGGAGGAAAAGAAACUAACUAGGAUUCCCUUAGUAACGGCGAGUGAAGCGGGAAGAGCUCAAAUUUGAAAUCUUCAAGGUUCUACCUUGACGAAUUGUAGUUUAUAAGAAGUGUUUUCUGUUAGUGAGUGGCUAAAAGUUCUUUGGAAUAGGACAUCAUAGAGGGUGAGAAUCCCGUAUUUGAUCACUUUCUACUAACUUUGUGAUACACUUUCAAAGAGUCGGAUUGUUUGGGAAUGCAGUCCAAAAUGGGUGGUAAAUUUCAUCUAAAGCUAAAUACUGGCGAGAGACCGAUAGCGAACAAGUACCGUGAGGGAAAGAUGAAAAGAACUUUGAAAAGAGAGUUAAACAGUACGUGAAAUUGUCAAAAGGGAAGCGUUUGACACCAGUGUUGUUUACUCGAAAAUCAAUUAAAAAUGGUGGGAUGUUGUGUUGUAUUGACUUUAUCAGCUUUCUGCACUUUUUUUCCUAUCUUUUUUAAUGCACUUUUCGUUUAACAAGUCAACAUCAAUUUCUUUUGUUGUAAAAGAGUCAUUGGAAGGUGGCUUUCUUUUCGGAGAAAGUGUUUAUAGCCUUUGGCUUCUGCAAUCGGAGAGAUUGAGGUCUGCAGCGUAGAUCCUUCGGGGUUAGAUGCAUUUGUGCUAAGUUAUAGCCUUUCAUAGACAACUUGUUGACUAUGAUCAGUCAUGUAGCUUACUCGCUUAGUGUCAUUUUACCUACGCUUAGGAUGUUGAUAUGCAUGACUGAUAU